AUUGAACGCUGGCGGCAUGCCUUACACAUGCAAGUCGAACGGUAACGGGCCUUCGGGUGCCGACGAGUGGCGAACGGGUGAGUAAUACAUCGGAACGUGCCCGAUCGUGGGGGAUAACGAGGCGAAAGCUUUGCUAAUACCUCAUACGAUCUACGGAUGAAAGCAGGGGACCGCAAGGCCUUGCGCGGACGGAGCGGCCGAUGGCAGAUUAGGUAGUUGGUGGGAUAAAAGCUUACCAAGCCGACGAUCUGUAGCUGGUCUGAGAGGAUGAUCAGCCACACUGGGACUGAGACACGGCCCAGACUCCUACGGGAGGCAGCAGUGGGGAAUUUUGGACAAUGGGCGCAAGCCUGAUCCAGCCAUGCCGCGUGCAGGAUGAAGGCCUUCGGGUUGUAAACUGCUUUUGUACGGAACGAAAAGCCUUCUUUUAAUACAGGAGGGUCAUGACGGUACCGUAAGAAUAAGCACCGGCUAACUACGUG
rnacentral:rRNA from 1 species